rnacentral:rRNA from 1 species
UACGGAGGGUGCGAGCGUUGUCCGGAAUCAUUGGGCGUAAAGGGCGCGUAGGUGGCCCGGUCAGUUCGUGGUGAAAGCGCGGGGCUCAACCCUGCGUCGGCCAUGAAUACUGCCGCGGCUGGAGCACUGUAGAGGCAGGCGGAAUUCCGGGUGUAGCGGUGGAAUGCGUAGAGAUCCGGAAGAACACCGGUGGCGAAGGCGGCCUGCUGGGCAGUUGCUGGACACUGGAGGCGCGACAGCGUGGGGAGCAAACAGGG